rnacentral:rRNA from 1 species
UACGUAGGGUGCGAGCGUUUGUCCGGAAUUACUGGGCGUAAAGAGCUCGUAGGCGGUUUGUCGCGUCGUCCGUGAAAACUUGGGGCUCAACCCCAAGCUUGCGGGCGAUACGGGCAGACUUGAGUACUGCAGGGGAGACUGGAAUUCCUGGUGUAGCGGUGAAAUGCGCAGAUAUCAGGAGGAACACCGGUGGCGAAGGCAGGUCACUGGGCCGCAACUGACGCUGAGGAGCGAAAGCAUGGGGGAGCGAACAGGA